rnacentral:rRNA from 1 species
CUACGGGAGGCAGCAGUGGGGAAUAUUGGACAAUGGGCGAAAGCCUGAUCCAGCCAUGCCGCGUGAGUGAUGAAGGCCCUAGGGUUGUAAAGCUCUUUUGUGCGGGAAGAUAAUGACGGUACCGCAAGAAUAAGCCCCGGCUAACUUCGUGCCAGCAGCCGCGGUAAUACGAAGGGGGCUAGCGUUGCUCGGAAUCACUGGGCGUAAAGGGUGCGUAGGCGGGUUUCUAAGUCAGAGGUGAAAGCCUGGAGCUCAACUCCAGAACUGCCUUUGAUACUGGAAGUCUUGAGUUCGGGAGAGGUGAGUGGAACUGCGAGUGUAGAGGUGAAAUUCGUAGAUAUUCGCAAGAACACCAGUGGCGAAGGCGGCUCACUGGCCCGAUACUGACGCUGAGGCACGAAAGCGUGGGGAGCAAACAGGAUUAGAAACCCCGGUAGUCC